CAGUAGCCGCGGGAAUACGGAGGGUGCAAGCGUUGUCCGGAUUUAUUGGGUUUAAAGGGUGCGUAGGCGGCUAUUUAAGUCAGCGGUGAAAGACUCCGACUCAACCGGAGCAGUGCCAUUGAUACUGGAUAGCUUGAGUGUUGGAGGGGUACAUGGAAUUGAUGGUGUAGCGGUGAAAUACAUAGAUACCAUCAGGAACACCGAUAGCGAGGGCAUUGUACUGGCCAACAACUGACGCUGAGGCACGAAAGCAUGGGGAGCGAACAGGAUUAGAUACCCCAGUAGUCCCUGUCUCUUAUAU
rnacentral:rRNA from 1 species